rnacentral:rRNA from 1 species
UACGGAGGGUGCAAGCGUUGCUCGGAAUUAUUGGGCGUAAAGGGUAGGUAGGUGGUCUCGUUUGUCUGAGGUGAAAGCCUUGAGCUUAACUCAAGAAGUGCCUCAGAAACGGCGAGACUAGAGUCUUGGAGAGGGUCGUGGAAUUCCCGGUGUAGCGGUGAAAUGCGUAGAGAUCGGGAGGAACACCAGAGGCGAAGGCGGCUUUCUGGACGGUAACUGACGCUGAGACGCGAAAAGCGUGGGGGAGCAAACAGG